UGGGGAAUUUUGGACAAUGGGCGAAAGCCUGAUCCAGCAAUGCCGCGUGCGUGAAGAAGGCCUUCGGGUUGUAAAGCACUUUUGUCCGGAAAGAAAUCCUUGGCUCUAAUACAGUCGGGGGAUGACGGUACCGGAAGAAUAAGCACCGGCUAACUACGUGCCAGCAGCCGCGGUAAUACGUAGGGUGCAAGCGUUAAUCGGAAUUACUGGGCGUAAAGCGUGCGCAGGCGGUUUGCUAAGACCGAUGUGAAAUCCCCGGGCUCAACCUGGGAACUGCAUUGGUGACUGGCAGGCUAGAGUAUGGCAGAGGGGGGUAGAAUUCCACGUGUAGCAGUGAAAUGCGUAGAGAUGUGGAGGAAUACCGAUGGCGAAGGCAGCCCCCUGGGCCAAAUACUGACGCUCAUGCACGAAAGCGUGGGGAGCAAACAGGAUUAGAUACCCUGGUAGUCCACGCCCUAAAACGAUGUCAACUAGUUGUUGGGGAUUCAUUUCCUUAGUAACGUAGCUAACGCGUGAAGUUGACCGCCUGGGGAGUACGGUCGCAAGAUUAAAACUUAAAGGAAUUGACGGGGUCAUAGCUGUUUCCU
rnacentral:rRNA from 1 species